AUCGCUUCUCGGCCUUUUGGCUAGAUCAAGUGUAGUAUCUGUUCUUAUCAGUUUAAUAUCUGAUAUGUCAUCUCUAUGUAGGACUACCUGUUAAGCAGAUUUUUGGCAUGAGGGCAGGAAUUUGGGCUUGCUCCCUUUGUCUCCACGCAUCGACCUAGCAUUGCAGUGCCGCUUUGGGAGCGGUUGCACUCUGU